GAUGAACGCUAGCGGCAGGCUUAACACAUGCAAGUCGAGGGGUAUUUAUCUUCGGAUAGAGAGACCGGCGCACGGGUGCGUAACGCGUAUGCAAUCUACCUUUUACAGAGGGAUAGCCCAGAGAAAUUUGGAUUAAUACCUCAUAGUAUAUAGACUCGGCAUCGAGAUUAUAUUAAAGUCACAACGGUAAAAGAUGAGCAUGCGUCCCAUUAGCUAGUUGGUAAGGUAACGGCUUACCAAGGCUACGAUGGGUAGGGGUCCUGAGAGGGAGAUCCCCCACCCUGGUACGGGGACACGCACCAGACUCCUACGGGAGGCAGCAGUGAGGAAUAUUGGACAGUGGGAGCAAGCCUGAUCCAGCCAUGCCGCGUGCAGGAUGGCGGUCCUAUGGAUUGUAAACUGCUUUUAUACGAGAAGAAACACUGCUACGUGUAGCAGCUUGACGGUAUCGGAAGAAUAAGGAUCGGCUAACUCCGUG
rnacentral:rRNA from 1 species